rnacentral:tRNA from 1 species
GUUUCCGUAGUGUAGCGGUUAUCACGUCUGCUUCACACGCGGAAGGUCCCCGGUUCGAUCCCGGGCGGCAACA